rnacentral:rRNA from 1 species
UACGUAGGGUGCAAGCGUUGUCCGGAAUUAUUGGGCGUAAAGAGCUCGUAGGCGGUCUGUUGCGUCGGCUGUGAAAACCCGGGGCUCAACUCCGGGCCUGCAGCCGAUACGGGCAGACUAGAGUUCGGCAGGGGAGACUGGAAUUCCUGGUGUAGCGGUGAAAUGCGCAGAUAUCAGGAGGAACACCGGUGGCGAAGGCGGGUCUCUGGGCCACAACUGACGCUGAGGCGCGAAAGCUAGGGGAGCAAACAGG